CCAGCCCCUAGGACCCGGAGGCCUCAGAGUGAGCUGUUUUUAUGUUCCAGCCACAUUUCCGGUUCUAGUUCCCAGGACAAUCCGCCGUCAGUUGUUUUAAAUUGUUUUUAAUUUGAUGCUUGCACACCUAGGACACGUUAUUUCAGAAUCCUAGUGAUAUUAUAUGUGCUUAUUCAUUCAACACCCACUGAAACUAAACCAUUUGUGGAAGAGUUCUAAGUCAAAGCAAAUGAACCAAAUCUGCAUUGUGUUUAAAUCAAGUUGAGCACAAACUUACGGUAGAGCUGAGACAUGUUCUCAACAACCUUAAUUGAUCAAGAGAUUGGUUGCAGCAAAACCCAGUAUACACCAUGGAGACCAAGCAGUUCGUGAACCACCUGCUUUUGUGGAUUUCCUGAAACUCGUGGGGAACGGGAGAGUCCUUGGAGCCGCGGUCCAUCUCCCUUACUCAUGUGAGACAGAUGAAUACCGCGAAGGUUGCCGUUCCGCUCGCCAUCGGUGAACAUUCUGUCAUGGGCCUUCGCGUGGGCGUAGCACACCGCUGAUGCGUGAGCCACAGGCUACGCGAGUCUGAUUGGGGCCCGACGCGAACCCGGAGCUCAGCCGCCCCCACACUUCCCCCGGCCUCGCUCGUUUACAAAAGGUGCCUCGUCACCGCGUGGGACCAGCUGCGCUCGGUGAUUGCUUGUGACAUCACUACGCAAGCCUGCGGAUAAGACGGUCCACAGCUACCGGGGUUUCCGUGACUCUGUGCGUUUAAGCAACGUAAAAUGCCUCUGAAGGACGGUGAAAGGUCAAGCAGGGCUGGCGCGUGAGCGGCAGGGCUGUUUCUCAUACCAGCGCCGCUGGUUUAGAUUCCCAGAGAGGAGCAGAGCGGGAGGAAGAGGAAAGGCCAUGCAGCUGUUUGGAAUUAGGGGAAGAUGGCGAGGGCUCGCCCAGCGGCACGCAGGAAAUGAACGAGGCGGGGAGAAGAGCGGGAGACAGACAGCUGUCCCGUCCCAGCCGUCCCGCAGUCCAGGGCUGUACCCUGUGCGGGUUCCGGGUGACGCGAUCUGACGGACAUCACCCCCCGCUCUCAGUGUGACCCGACCUCUCGCUGCUAUAUUUGGGUGGGCGACCGUGUGCCUGUGCGCGAGGUUUGUCUCUAAGCCUGGGAACUCUGCGUCACAGCUGUCCAGGUAACAGGUUCCUGAAUGGGACACAGGGCCAGGUUCCCCCGCCCACUUCCUGUCAGAAUUAGGAUGAUGGGAUUAGGAUUAGCCUGGUUCCCGAUCUGAAGGGAGGAAAUGAUCUCUGUGGUGGGGGGACCUCUGGAGGAGGGGGAGGAGGAAAGCGGAGCUCCUUUAAGGGUGUCAGGCACAGGUGAAUCUGUUGCUCACUGGGUAGAUCUGACCAAAAAGGCAGAAUGACCUUAUCCACAGGUGAGGCAUCCAUAUGCGAUGCACUAACCCUGGCUAUCUGUCUUUAUGCAGAUUUUAAAAGCACAAUAAUCUGUCAUAGAAUCGUAUUCUGGGACAGGAAAUGGGAUGGUCUGUGUUACUUUCAAAUCUACAAAAAGGGGGGAAAUUGGAGCAUAUAAAUUAUUCCUUAAACCCAACCUAAUACCUAAUCCUACCUGAAUUUGGGGGGACUAACUUUACAGACCUCACAUAAUUGUGUAGGACUGAUUCGGUGCCUCUGGUACAAUGAGAUUUAUCAGCCUGGUUUCCAGUCACAAAAUGACUUCUGGGCUCUUAACAACCCUGAGACACAAACCUCCAAACACACAUUUUCAGCACAAAGCAUCAGUGGCCCACAAGACCUCCAUAUCAGGUAUGUGUGUGUGUGUUGGGGUGGGGGGGGGGGGCGGGGAUGAGAGGUCAAUCCAGGUAUAUUUAUCUUUUUCAGUGGAGAGAUGAGGGAGGAUUCUGAGGAAAGUGUCAAAGGGAAAGGAGAUUUUUUCAGAUGCCACUGUCACAUGCAGUACCUAGCAGUCUACACUAGAAGGAGCUGUAGUUCAGUAUCUGUUGGCUGUGGAGACAGUGUGUAAUGUACAUCUCAACAAAGAACGCUUUCAAAGUACAAAAAUUCCAGGUUACUCAUGCACACAAAGCACUGCCUAUAAGUCAUUAAAUUAAACUUGCUAAAUCUGGACCUUCCGUUAAAAGUAUUGAUAUCAAGAUGAGGCCAAAUUACAACAAAUAAUAUUGGACAUUUUAGUUCACAAAUUAAACAAGCAUUAUUCCAGUGGUACCCUGUGUUUCCUACAUUAUUUUAUGUACAGAAACUUGGCCCUAUGUCUUUUCAUCAUAUCAUCUAAAGAGAAUGUGGUCAUUCAAAGGUCAUCUGUCACAUGGAAGUGCGAAAUGGCAAUCAUUUACUGGAAAUUAUCUGAAAUUCAACUAUGUUACACUUUUUUUAUUUGAACAAUUGUCUGCAUGUAGUAAGCACAUAAUGAAUCAAAUACAUUAUUAUUAUUAUUCUAUUAUUAUUAUUAUUGUUAUUAUU